rnacentral:misc_RNA from 1 species
AACGAAAUUGAUUUUUGGGUUACGCGGUUGCUAAACAAACUGUAAAGUUGUCAGUGUCGACAAGAGAGGUUCUAUCCGCCAUGAAGGGGCGGAAGAGUGAAGGUUCGAAUCCUUCGGAGCCAUUUUAGAUGCACCUCGAGAUGUGAAUCACGAGGGAAGGGCCGAGAGUCAAACCAAUGACUUUUCGAGGCCGUGUAAAGGUUUGCACACAGGACGUUAAAUGGGUUUAGCGGAGCAU